rnacentral:rRNA from 1 species
UACGUAGGGUGCAAGCGUUGUCCGGAAUUAUUGGGCGUAAAGAGCUCGUAGGCGGUCUGUCGCGUCUGCUGUGAAAACUCAGGGCUUAACCCUGAGCUUGCAGUGGGUACGGGCAGACUAGAGUGCGGUAGGGGAGACUGGAAUUCCUGGUGUAGCGGUGAAAUGCGCAGAUAUCUGGAGGAAUACCGGGUGGCGAAGGCGGCAUCCUGGACCGGCAUUGACGCUGAUGGAGCGAAAAGCUAGGGGAGCAAACGGGG